ensembl:lncRNA
CCCAGUUCACUGUUUCCCACUGAGGCUCCAGCAGUGCAAUACAAACCCUUCCUAAUUUGUACAGGGAAGUCCAUUGGAUGGGAAAGGACCAUACUGCCGUGAGGCAGUGCUCGGUAUUUAUUGCCAAACAGGGCGAAACCUAGUCUCCACUUGGAUAAGAUCUGCAGGGGGUGGAAGUGUCCUGUGGGUGCGCAAGGCACAGCGUGGAAAGGCAGACUCACCCAUCAGAGGCUCCCGAUCCCCAGAGGCUGCCUCUGUCUCUCGCGGGAUCUCUAGUGUGUGUCUGCCCCUCUCUCGGGAUCUCAGGGCAUCAGGACUGGAGAUCUCACAAGAGCUGAUGCCCAGCUCACCCCCUUACAACUCUUAGCAGAUGAAGAAACUAAACACCAGGGAGAGGGGGUGCUUUCCUGCAGUUGUCGCUUGGUCGAGCUUGAUGCUAUUGGACAGAGAAGCAAAGGAAGGUUGAGACAACAUGGGGACAGGGUGAGUGCUCAGCAGAAGACCAGAAACAGGGAGGACAGUGAAGCUGAAACGGGUGUUCUUCUGACUGGCUUCUCACAGGUUUAUUGAUUAAAGUUGAGUCUCCUACAAUGAACAAUGAAAGAAAAGGGCCUUCAUCAAGGAGAAAAGGAAGGAAAUAGAAUUCAGAGAACUGGCCCAGGACCCUUGCAACACCUGGCAAGUACAUCAUCUCAUUGAGCAAUGAAGAAGGACAUGGUGGCCCUCCUAUAAUUAAUCACAGUUCAUUAUGAUGUCAUAGUCAACAUAACCAAGUGCUUAUGAUAAACCUGACUCUGUGCUUUAUGGUCUUGACUCAUUCAAUCUGUUAAUCACAUUAACUGGAACAACUCCAAAAAGUGGGAGGAAGAAAGUGAGGCCCAUAGGCAUGCACUGACAUGGGGUCACACAGCUGCUGAGAGCGGAGAGCUGGGGCUUGAACCCACAUAGUCCUUCCGUAAUUAUCUACUCCACUACCCACCUCCUCACUUGAGUGGAUUCUGCCAUGUGGGCCUCCCAGGUUUAGGUUAUGACCUGGACACUGGAGAAACUGAACUGAGACUCAGCUGGGCACAGGCCCAACAGCACGGCUGAGUGGAGUGAAAAGCAGGCUUGCUGGGGUGAAGGAUGACCAGAGCAGCUUCCCACCUGGAUCCCUCUGUCUCCUGUCUUUCUCUCAUCAUGGCCACAGGCAGCCUGUGGAAGAGCAUUACCAGAAAAUCAGGAAAGAAAGAGACAGCCCUCUGUUAAAGAGAAACCCAAAGGCCCCAGAUGACAUCUCCUGUACUAAAGCCUCUGCUGACAGAUCUGACAACUAUAGUUUGCCCUUCCCCAGGAAGGUAAUGGUACUAAGCCAGUCUGGAAUUUCCUGGUCAGCACCAAUGAGAUCAUCUAUCACGGGGCCAUCUCCAUUUCCCCCACCAAGGGAUGAAGAGGUAACCUGCAUGAUAGACCUUCAUCCCCUGCCUCUGCCCCCAAGAAGGUGACCUGGUCUGAAACAAUCCUUUCUUGUCUUUUGCUAAAGAGCUUCCUUGCCUCACCCUCCUCCUGCCUAUAAAAACCAUCCAUUUUGUGUAAUUCCUCUGAGCAUCCUCUACUCACUAGGUGGGAUGCUGCUGCAUUCUUUAAUCAUUGAAUAAAAC